CAGUAGCCGCGGUAAAACCGAGGGUGCAAGCGUUAAUCGGAAUUACUGGGCGUAAAGCGCACGCAGGCGGUCUGACAAGUCAGAUGUGAAAUCCCCGGGCUUAACCUGGGAACUGCAUUUGAAACUGUCAGGCUGGAGUCUUGUAGAGGGGGGUGGAAUUCCAGGUGUAGCGGUGAAAUGCGUAGAGAUCUGGAGGAAUACCGGUGGCGAAGGCGGCCCCCUGGACAAAGACUGACGCUCAGGUGCGAAAGCGUGGGGAGCAAACAGGAUUAGAUACCCCUGUAGUCCCUGUCUCUUAUAC
rnacentral:rRNA from 1 species